rnacentral:rRNA from 1 species
GCUUAUCACCAUUCCAGAUUGAAUAUACCCGAUCUCGUCUGAUCUCGGAAGUCAAGCAAUCUCGGGCUAGGUUAGUACUUGUCAAUUGCCACCACAGGGCGA